AUAAAAGGGAGAAAGUGAAUCAGAACUGAAAGGGGAUAACUUCAGGAAAGACAAGAAAAGGAAAAGUUGCACUUGGAAACAAGUCCAACUUUCUACCUUUCUGGACUUAAGAGAAAAGUAAAAUCAAUUUUCUCGUGUGAAACCUGGAAAGCAGAUGUUUUCAAAACACAGGAAGCUAUUUUGCCAUCAAAAGCAGGGAUGUAAUAAAGGCAGUGAAAAAUAAUUUCAGACUGAAUUCAUAAGAGAGAAAGCCAAUAUAUUUAAAUAUAGAGGAAAGGCCUAGGGUGUAGAAAGGGGAAAUUACAUACCCCUUCCCUAAUGCCAAAAAAAAAAAAAAAAAAAGCCUUACAGCUACCUCCAAGAGUUUGGAGCACAGUCACGAAGCCAAAGGGCUUGAAAUGAGAGGAUGGAUUUCAGAUAAAGACUAGGAGCGGUACAUCCCACUAGAGCCCAAAGGAGAUCCCUGGAAUCAAAGACAGCAGCGAGGGACCCUACUACUGUACCGAUUCCCAGUACAUCAAAGCCAUCACUUAGGCUGGUGCACGGUACCUCCAAAAAGCAAGCAAACAAACGCAGGAAGAACAAGAGUCAGUGUCUGUCUGUCUCUCUCUCUCUCUCUCCCCCCUCUUCUCUGUCUCUUCCCCCCCCUUUCAAAUCCUAGCCUCAGCGUCACUGCUACUGCAAUAGAUUUUUUAAAAAUGACAAGUUGUAUUUAUGUAAGUUCUAAAUAUGAACUAAUACCAUUGAAAUUACAAUGUCUGGAAUAAAAUAAAAUGCAAUCAGCACUUUAAGUAAUCUGCAAAUGUAAAAACAACAUUUAUGUUUUUGAAGGCAUUAUUAGUAAACCCUGUAACACCAGAUAGCUUGCUAAAACUUAUUUUUCUUGGGAAAAAAUGUUGCCCUAGCCUACCAGAUUAUUUAUUUUAGAAGGAAUUUGGGAAUUAAUCAGGAAAUCUGUUUGAUUAGAAAGUAAUUCUUCAUUUUGAGAGAUUUUCCAAUGCUCUUAAGAACAUGCAGCUUCUUAGUCAAGACUAGAGAGAAAAAAACCGGUUUAGGAUUUUGCAGGGUUACCUCAUCUAAUCCUUCUGAAUUCACUCUGGGAAUAAUGCUAUUUUAUUUACGGGGGGCGGGGGAAGAAAAUACAUUUAGAAAAAUCAGGGGUUUCCUCUCUGUGAGCCAAAUCUGGGUUGCCAUUCAAACUUUUUCUGGCUGCUUUUCCAUGCAGGACAGCUGAUCAAUAAAGCCAAGUCCAGCCUGGCUUGCUACAGGUUUCACCAGUCAGUGCUUGCAAAACCUUUGUCAUUUUCUAAAAAUAAAAAAGCUAAAAGUUAUUGUAGAAGAAGGGGCUUUUUUUUGUCCCCUGCACAAUGUGUCUUUUGUGAGGUUAAUGCCAUUCUGGGCUCUCGAUAGCCCUGGACAAUGGGGAACUCUCUAGGAGCCUGCAAAGAUUCUAGCUUUUUUCUUUCUUGCCUUUUUUUUUUUUUUUUUUUAAGGGAAGGAUGAAACAUUCCUACAGUCCAAACACAACCUCUACUGUGAUUAAAUAAAUAUUUAUCUUUAUUGUAGCCAUUGUAUAUUUUUACCUUCAGUUUGUCCGGUUUCUGAUUAUUAUUUUAAAUUUUUCAAUGGCAACAGUUAAUCUUUUUUUUUUCCCUUUCAGUCCAAAGGGCAGGUCAGUGUAAAAUGUAGCUGACUGAAGGAAGACUGGUAAAUUCUGAAUUUUUCCAUAAUACAUCAGGUAAGGAAAAUUGUUCAGACCCUCAGGAAUAUAUUCACUUCCUUUUUAUCUGUCUUCACGAAUCUUCAUAAAGCUGUUUAUUUU
rnacentral:lncRNA from 1 species